rnacentral:rRNA from 1 species
GAUGAACGCUGGCGGCGUGCAUAACACAUUCAAGUCGAACGGAGUUAUGAGGAUUAAUCCUUCGGGAAGCGUCCAAGUAACUUAGUGGCGGACGGGUGAGUAACGCGUGAGCAACCUGCCUCUGCAUGGGGGAUAACGUUUGGAAACGGACGCUAAUACCUCAUAACACAAGGACACCGCAUGAUGACCUUGUCAAAGAUUUAUUGUGCAGAGAUGGGCUCGCGUCUGAUUAGGUAGUUGGUGAGGUAACGGCCCACCAAGCCGACGAUCAGUAGCCGGACUGAGAGGUUGAACGGCCACAUUGGAACUGAGAUACGGUCCAGACUCCUACGGGAGGCAGCGGUGGGGAAUAUUGGGCAAUGGGCGAAAGCCUGACCCAGCGACGCCGCGUGAGGGAAGAAGGUCUUCGGAUUGUAAACCUUUGUUGACAGGGAAGAAGAAAGUGACGGUACCUGUCGAGGAAGCCACGGCUAACUACGUG